CUCAGAUUGAACGCUGGCGGCAGGCCUAACACAUGCAAGUCGAACGGUAACAGGAAGCAGCUUGCUGCUUUGCUGACGAGUGGCGGACGGGUGAGUAAUGUCUGGGAAACUGCCUGAUGGAGGGGGAUAACUACUGGAAACGGUAGCUAAUACCGCAUAACGUCGCAAGACCAAAGAGGGGGACCUUAGGGCCUCUUGCCAUCGGAUGUGCCCAGAUGGGAUUAGCUAGUAGGUGGGGUAACGGCUCACCUAGGCGACGAUCCCUAGCUGGUCUGAGAGGAUGACCAGCCACACUGGAACUGAGACACGGUCCAGACUCCUACGGGAGGCAGCAGUGGGGAAUAUUGCACAAUGGGCGCAAGCCUGAUGCAGCCAUGCCGCGUGUAUGAAGAAGGCCUUCGGGUUGUAAAGUACUUUCAGCGGGGAGGAAGGGAGUAAAGUUAAUACCUUUGCUCAUUGACGUUACCCGCAGAAGAAGCACCGGCUAACUCCAUGCCAGCAGCCGCGGUAAUACGGAGGGUGCAAGCGUUAAUCGGAAUUACUGGGCGUAAAGCGCACGCAGGCGGUUUGUUAAGUCAGAUGUGAAAUCCCCGGGCUCAACCUGGGAACUGCAUCUGAUACUGGCAAGCUUGAGUCUCGUAGAGGGGGGUAGAAUUCCAGGUGUAGCGGUGAAAUGCGUAGAGAUCUGGAGGAAUACCGGUGGCGAAGGCGGCCCCCUGGACGAAGACUGACGCUCAGGUGCGAAAGCGUGGGGAGCAAACAGGAUUAGAUACCCUGGUAGUCCACGCCGUAAACGAUGUCGACUUGGAGGUUGUGCCCUUGAGGCGUGGCUUCCGGAGCUAACGCGUUAAGUCGACCGCCUGGGGAGUACGGCCGCAAGGUUAAAACUCAAAUGAAUUGACGGGGGCCCGCACAAGCGGUGGAGCAUGUGGUUUAAUUCGAUGCAACGCGAAGAACCUUACCUGGUCUUGACAUCCACGGAAGUUUUCAGAGAUGAGAAUGUGCCUUCGGGAACCGUGAGACAGGUGCUGCAUGGCUGUCGUCAGCUCGUGUUGUGAAAUGUUGGGUUAAGUCCCGCAACGAGCGCAACCCUUAUCCUUUGUUGCCAGCGGUCCGGCCGGGAACUCAAAGGAGACUGCCAGUGAUAAACUGGAGGAAGGUGGGGAUGACGUCAAGUCAUCAUGGCCCUUACGACCUGGGCUACACACGUGCUACAAUGGCGCAUACAAAGAGAAGCGACCUCGCGAGAGCAAGCGGACCUCAUAAAGUGCGUCGUAGUCCGGAUUGGAGUCUGCAACUCGACUCCAUGAAGUCGGAAUCGCUAGUAAUCGUGGAUCAGAAUGCCACGGUGAAUACGUUCCCGGGCCUUGUACACACCGCCCGUCACACCAUGGGAGUGGGUUGCAAAAGAAGUAGGUAGCUUAACCUUCGGGAGGGCGCUUACCACUUUGUGAUUCAUGACUGGGGAAGGUCGUAACAAGGUA
rnacentral:rRNA from 1 species